UCCUUGGUGAACACUUGUGACUACUAGU
rnacentral:piRNA from 1 species